rnacentral:rRNA from 1 species
GACGAACGCUGGCGGCGUGCCUAAUACAUGCAAGUUGAGCGCUGAAGGUUGGUACUUGUACCAACUGGAUGAGCAGCGAACGGGUGAGUAACGCGUGGGGAAUCUGCCUUUGAGCGGGGGACAACAUUUGGAAACGAAUGCUAAUACCGCAUAAAAACUUUAAACACAAGUUUUAAGUUUGAAAGAUGCAAUUGCAUCACUCAAAGAUGAUCCCGCGUUGUAUUAGCUAGUUGGUGAGGUGAAGGCUCACCAAGGCGAUGAUACAUAGCCGACCUGAGAGGGUGAUCGGCCACAUUGGGACUGAGACACGGCCCAAACUCCUACGGGAGGCAGCAGUAGGGAAUCUUCGGCAAUGGACGAAAGUCUGACCGAGCAACGCCGCGUGAGUGAAGAAGGUUUUCGGAUCGUAAAACUCUGUUGGAAGAGAAGAACGUUGGUGAGAGUGGAAAGCUCAUCAAGUGACGGUAACUACCCAGAAAGGGACGGCUAACUACGUG